rnacentral:rRNA from 1 species
UACGGGGGGGCAAGCGUUGUUCGGAAUUACUGGGCGUAAAGAGCUCGUAGGCGGUUUGUUGCGUCGGCUGUGAAAUCCCGAGGCUCAACCUCGGGUCUGCAGUCGAUACGAGCAAACUAGAGUGUUGCAGGGGAGACUGGAAUUCCUGGUGUAGCGGUGAAAUGCGCAGAUAUCGGGAAGAACACCCGUGGCGAAGGCGGCAACUCUGGGACGGUACUGACGCUGAGACGCGGAAAGCAUGGGGAGCGAACGAGGA